rnacentral:rRNA from 1 species
AACGUAGGAGACAAACGUUAUCCGGAGUUACUGGGCGUAAAGGGCGUGUAGGUGGUUGAGUAAGUCUGGCGUGAAAUUUUUCGGCUUAACCGGGAAAGGUCGUCGGAUACUGCUUAACUAGAGGACGGUAGAGGCGUGUGGAAUUCCGGGUGUAGUGGUGAAAUGCGUAGAGAUCCGGAGGAACACCAGUGGCGAAGGCGACACGCUGGGCCGUACCUGACACUGAUGCGAGACAGCAUGGGGAGCAAACAGG